rnacentral:lncRNA from 1 species
AUUCACAGUUCUUUUCAUCUUGGAAACUGACUUUUCAUUUCUCUUCGUGUUUCAUACAUUAGGAAAGAAGAAUACAAAGGUGAAAAUAAAACCCUGAAAAAAAUUAAAUCCAAAGUUGAGGGUUGUGCAACAGCUAGUUGGUGAGACUUGGGUAUCUGCCCUAGCUAAAUUACCUUUGAAGAGGCCAUUUUGAAGAGCUGUACAAUCCACUUAAGAAAAGUUUUUACUGAGGUGAAUCCCACUUAUAAUGGAGCAGAGUGAGAGUCUUAAGUCAAGAUAUGCAGACAUGAAAGAGUUAAAUGACUGGAGACCUGACUGCAGCUGGGGUUCAUUUAAACAGCUGUCUGACAUAAAAAGAGGAAGAGGAAAGGUUUGUCUGUUCUGGUGGGAAAUCUACCAGCUCCACAGUGAGGUUUUCAUGCAUCAGCCUCCUUGGCUGGAACCCUGCCUCCCCAUCCCAUUGCCAGAGAAGUAUGAUGAUGACUGGCUGCGCUUCUGCGGGUUCUUUGUCCAAUGCUGCGUAUUAUUUGUAGUCAACUUUAGCUCUACCCCCAAAACUAAGUGAAGGUGAGCCUAGUGGUCUUAAUGGAAAAUGCACUGAUUUGGGCCAAAGCGUUGGUGGACUGUGAUAGUUUGGUGCUCCAAGGCUGGGGGGCAUUCCUCAAGGAAUUCAUGACAUAGUUUGCAAUCUGCACCUGGCCUGGACAGAGGAGGCUGUCCUGUGAUCCCUGCAUCAGGAGAAAAGUUCUGUCAUGGCUUGUGCACCCAUCUUUCACUGCUUGAGAACAGACACCCAGUAGAAUGAAGCAUCCCAACUCCACCAUUUCUGCUGGGGUCUACAGGAGGAAAUUAAGGAUGAACUGGCUCCGAAUUUGAUGCAUUUGUGGAUCUGGCUGCCCAGAUGGGCCUCCACCUUUGGGAAUGCAGAGAGGAAAAGAAAGAUGCCUUGCCUCUGUGGCCACACAGUAGUGAAACAUGAGCUGAAUAACAUGGAUCAAAAAGAAACCUGCCCUAGAGUGGUGUAACUUUAAGGUGCCUAAGUGUGCUUAAAGCUAGUUUCCAGUGUUAAUGUGCAGACAAUCCAUGGGUUAAGAGCUCCAGAAGCUGCCUAAAAUUAAUCUAGAACAAGGCCCUAAGUAUGUCUUGUGAAAUGCUGAGCUCCUGCUGUUUUCAGUGAAAGAUGGACAUACUUGGUAUCUGCCCAAAUUUGGUCUAGCUGUAUUUAAAUAUGGAAUAUAUAUUUGUCCAAGUUGUUUUGCAUUAAAAUAAAUGAAUCCAACACUGAAGUUAUGUAAUUGCA